rnacentral:lncRNA from 1 species
AUUGCUGUUGCUUGCUUUGUGCGAGUCCUGUGCAGAAGGCAGCACCUUGCCUGUGACAGUCCUUGCAGGAGCAGUCCUGAGCCUGAGUCCUGAAGGGAUUUAAGCCACUAUAGUGCUUUGAUAAUCUGUAUGAGACCUGCAUAUAUCACUUACUUCACCAGUUUAUUUGCAUGGAUUUUUCAAUGACCAUAAACUUCAAAAGACAUUUAGGAAAAGAUAAAACAGUCCUAGUUCUACCAGACAUACAUAAAGUGACACAAUGAAUCAAGAUUAGCUGGAGGACUCUUUUCAGGAAUGCUAUUAUUUUGCCUUAACAUUUUGUAUGGGAGAAAAGGAAAUUACUAGCAAAAUCAUCAUGCUUGGAGAAAUGAAAAGUGUAAUUUCCUAGAGAAGAAAGGUUCUGUUUAUGUUACAGCGGGAGAUGAUAAUAGGAAGGGAACUGAUUUGACUACACAUGGAUUUCUACUGCUAUUUGGACUUCUCCAAGGAUAGCGCAUCCGGUGUACCCUUUCCUGCCAUCCAAUAAGAGGUUGGGAGGUGGAGGAAGCGAGCAGAGAAGAUCGAUGCAAGAGAUAAAGAAAAGACAGGAGCAGGAAGGUGAAAACAACAAAGGGAAUCAGAAUAGAUAUAUUUGGGAUAAGCAUGGGAACUUCCACAAGAUGCAAUCCUUCAUGAACUGCUCCAACAUGGGUCCUUCUCAUAAGCUUCAGUUCUUCAAGAACUUCUCCAGAAUGAGUCCUUUCUGAUGGGUACAGUACAUCAGGAAUAAACCUGCAUGGGUCUACCAUGCCACCACAGUUCUUGCCCUGCCACAGAAGCUGCUCUUGUGUGAGUUCCUCUCCAGAAGCUGAAGUUCCUGCCGGGAAACUUCUCCAGUGUGGUCUUUUCACAGACUGGACCUUCAUUCAGAGGAUCCACCUACUGCGUGUCCUCCAGCACCUGGAGUACUUUUUUCCCCUUUUUUAUUCUCUGAGUUUGGUUUUUGUAGCUUUUUUCUUUUUCCCCCUCACAUGUAUUUUCUCUCUCACAGUUGCUGCUCAGCAUUUUUUUCUUUUUAAACUAUGUCUUCUAAGAAGUGCCACCAACUUCACUGAGGGUCUCACCUGUGUCCAGCACGGGUGCAGCUCCUGCUGUCUUCUCAUAGAGGCCACCUCUGCAGCCCCUUGAUAUCAACAUCUUGCCAUUUCCACCCAAUAAAUAAAUUUUAAUCAAGCAUUAGAUAUGUCCAUUUCUUAAGUCAUUGAAACAGCCACAUUUAAACUACUGUGUCCAGUUUGAGGCUUCUCAGUUCAAAAAAGACAAGAAUCUCCUAGAAGGGAUCCAGCAGAGGGCCACAAAGGUGAUUAAGGUCCUGGAGCAUCUCCAGUAUGAGGAAAGGCUGAAAGAUCUGGGUCUGUUCAGUCUGGUGAAAAGAAGACUGAGAGGGGAUCUGAUAAAUAUUUAAAAACAUCUAAAGGGAGACGGAAGUCAAAUGCAUGAUGCCAGGCUCUUUUUGGUGGUGCGUAGCAAUAGGAUAAGGAGUAAUGGCCUGAAACUUGAACACAGGAUGUUCCAUACAAACAUGAAGAAGAAAUUCAUUACAGUAAGGGUGAUGGAGCACUGGAACAGGUUGCCCAGAGAGGUUGUGGAGUCUCCCUCUAUGGAGAAAUUCACAACCCACCUGAAUGUCUACCUAUGCAACAUAUUGUAGGGUACCUGCCUUAGCAGGAGAGUUAAACUCUGAUCUUGAGGUCCCUUCCAACCCUUGCAAUUCCAUGACUCAAAAACAAUUCUCUAGAGAGAUAGAUCAAUGUUUCUUACACUAUUCUGUUUGUGCAUUUUGAAAGAAUUUAGAUAUGAACCUUGUACAGAAAUUAUUGUUUGUAUCAUAAAAUUUUUUACACUGAUUCUCUAAUAAAACAAAUGGUGAGAAAAAAUAAGACAAAUGAGGAAACAUUCAAGAACAUCUUAAAAGUAUAAAGAGAGAGAGAAGACAUAAAUAAAGAAGUAAACCAUUUCUGUGACUCACAGAAAAUACAGUUGUCUAAUGCAUAGAAUGUGCUCCUAUGUGGAGCCAGGAAUUGUACUCAGUGACCUUGUGGGUCCCUUCUAACUAGGGAUAGUAUAUGAUUCUGAAAUUUAUUCUGGCUCAAUUAUUGAGCUUUGUAAUUCAUAGUAGAGAAUUUUAAGCUCCGCUUAGUGCUAGGGGUCAAAAGAAUUUAUAU